rnacentral:misc_RNA from 1 species
UCCCUUCUCUCCGUAAUGCGAAUUGCAGAAUUCCAGUUCUUCCUCUAAUCUUUGAACGUACAUUGCGCCCUUUGGUAUUCCGAAGGGCAUGCCUGUUCGAGCGUCAUUAUCACCCUUCAAGCCCCGUGCUUGGUGUUGGAAGGCUCGGUUGAUGGACAUCGACCCCUCCUAAAGACAAUGACAGCGGCCUGUGGAUCCCCCGGUACACUGAGCUUUUAACUGAGCACGUACCGGAUGAGGGAGCCCGGGACCCGGUCUUCUCCUUUCACUAGGAAGUUUCUCAAGGUUGACCUCGGAUCAGGUAGGAAUACGCGCUGAACUUAAGC